rnacentral:rRNA from 1 species
GACGAACGCUGGCGGCGUGCUUAACACAUGCAAGUCGAACGGAAAGGCCCUGCUUUUGUGGGGUGCUCGAGUGGCGAACGGGUGAGUAACAAGUGAGUAACCUGCCCUUGACUUUGGGAUAACUUCAGGAAACUGGGGCUAAUACCGGAUAGGAGCUCCUGCUGCAUGGUGGGGGUUGGAAAGGUUCGGCGGUUGGGGAUUGACUCGCGGCUUAUCAGCUUGUUGGUGGGGUAGUGGCUUACCAAGGCUUUGACGGGUAGCCGGCCUGAGAGGGUGACCGGCCACAUUGGGACUGAGAUACGGCCCAGACUCCUACGGGAGGCAGCAGUGGGGAAUAUUGCACAAUGGGCGGAAGCCUGAUGCAGCAACGCCGCGUGCGGGAUGACGGCCUUCGGGUUGUAAACCGCUUUCGCCUGUGACGAAGCGUGAGUGACGGUAAUGGGUAAAGAAGCACCGGCUAACUACGUG